AAAAGUGCAGUAUGCAAUACUAGCUGAAACACCAAGCGGUGCAAAAAUAUAAAAAUAAGAAGAUAUGAUGAUGAGAUUUCCAAUAGCAACCAUCCACAAUUCCGAUGAUGUAAACAAGUAUUAUAUGUACGGCCUUCAACAAGGAGAUAUAACUGUAUAGCCGGCGAUAAAAGGACCGACCUGAAAAAUAUGAAACAAUUCAAUUGAGAAAACUUUUAUAAAAAACAAAAUAAGAAUUAUGUCAGACAUGCACCAACGGCGCCCACUGAACUACAGGUUCAUGACUUGGAACAUGAUCUUGAAGAACUCAGCGGGGUUAAACGUGAUUGAAGGCGCC
rnacentral:lncRNA from 1 species